rnacentral:lncRNA from 1 species
UUAUUUUAAUUAAGAUAAAAGCUAUAAAUUCCAUUUAUUAUUUCAGCAAAUUUCAGUAAUACUAUUUCAUCUGGAAAUGUACCAAUUAAUUGAUUCAGUAACUAUUUUAUUUUUUCUAUUAGAAAAAUAUAAGAACUAGGCUGGAAUACUAUUAAUAGCACAAAGUCAUUGGUGCUAUUACAUUAAAAAAUGUGCGGUUGGAAUUAUGUGAGCCCUCUAGAGUUGAGUGGGUGGUUAGUUGAAUAGUAUAAUCGAACGAAUGAAAAUAAUAAAAUAGGUAAAUCUAACGGCAGAAAACUUGAUAGCACCAAAUGCUUCGUGCUAUCGAUUGUAUCCCAGCCGGACUCAAAAUAUAAUGUAUAUUUAACGAAGUGAU